GUCAAUCUCCGGCAAAGGGGCUGGCCCCACGCUGCUGCCCAGGUAUGGGUUCUGAAUUCCAACCCACACCCGGGCUGGUGCGCCCUUCCAAGUCAGACACCCAGGCACCAGCCCUUCCAGACCAUGCAGUCAUCCUUCUCCCCGUCCCCCAAAAGAGAGAGCAUGGGGUCAAGAGGAUCUCCAGUGCCAUGAACCCCUGAUGGCCUCCCCUGGAUGGAGCCUCAGACCGCAGGAAGCCUUCAGAUGGGUACAUACUUGCCAGCUGGAAGGAACCCAUUCCUACCCAUUCUGCAAGGAAUUGGGAGGAAGGCCUGGAGAAGGGGGAGCAGUGCCCAGACCCUGCCCUGGAGCCCCGUGGCCCACAUGUGGCCUCGCAGGGGCUUGGAGAGCCAGGGAGAGGUGGGAGGUAGCCCAGGGAAGGUGCCUGCCUGAAUCACCUGCCGGCACUGAUCGGUGACCCAGCUGCCCAGGCCCCAUCCAGAAGGGGCAGAGCUGAACGGGGUGGGGGCAUGACCUGGGAAUCUGCAUCCUAACCCAGCCUCUGGUCCUUGCCCUGCCUUUCAGCAGAGAGUCCCUUGUCUUGUUUUAUGAGCUCGCCUGGAAGAGUGACCCCAGAAGCUUGCUCAGUAGUUCUUCCAGAAAGCCCUUGGGAACAAAAGUGACGUACUUGUGGUAGGCAGAGUCUGGAUUAAAUAUUCCCUGCGCCACUGCGUCCUUGGCGUCGUUACCUCCCGGGCCAGAUCAGCAGCUCCAGCCCAGUCUCUCCCAAGUCUCAGCCUGUGUGUGUAUCCAGGUUGCUGCGGGGUGUGUCCAUGUGGGUGUCCCUCAUUCAUCAGGCCAGAAACAUAACUUAUCAAACCCCCCUCUUCCCCAAAAAAGAAUCUUCUCUCCGUGGGCAAAUAAAUGGCUUCUUCUAUACUGUGACUCCAGCCAGAAAUCUGAAACGUCUUGGACACCCUGCUCUCCCCAUGGACCCUACUCUCUAGAUCCAUCUAGAUCCAUCCUCUGCACCUAGUCCAUUGGAUUUCACUCCCUGAAGAGACCUCAAGGCUGAACACCUUCCUCUGUGCCCCACCCCCAGCCAGGCUGAUCAAGCCACUGCCGGCUCUCAAAGCCCUUUUGUCUCCUGACUCCCCUCUUGCUCCCUCUCACAGGGCUUGCUCCUCCAGGGCGGCCCUCCCUUCUCCUCCUAGAGUAUAGUGAUGGCCUAAACCUGCAGUGUCCAGUGCAGGGACGCCUCCCACACAAAGGCCACUGAGCACAUGAAAGGUGGCCAGUCCAAAGGAGAUUUUCAAGGUUUGUACCCCCAAAAAAGGAAUGAAAAAUCCCUCAUUAAUAUUUUUAAAAAUGCAGUGAUAUAUGGAAUGAGUACUAUUUUGGAUGCAAAGUUUCGAUAUCAACUUUUUUUUUUUUUUUUUUUUUUAAGAUUUAAAAUUUUCAGGCAACCGGGUGGCUCU